AUGUACAUGCCUACAAAAUAGUGUUAAUUUGUCAUAUAGCAUUAGAACUCCGCAGUUAAGCACGCUUGGGCUAGAGUAGUACUAGGAUGGGUGACUGCCCGAGAAGUCCUAGUGUUGUAAAUG
rfam:Picea glauca, whole genome shotgun sequence.